rnacentral:rRNA from 1 species
CAGCCGCCGCGGUAAUACAGAGGGUGCAAGCGUUAAUCGGAUUUACUGGGCGUAAAGGGCGCGUAGGUGGUUAUUUAAGUGAGAUGUGAAAGCCCCGGGCUUAACCUGGGAACUGCAUCUUAUACUGGGUAACUGGAGUGCAGUAGAGGGUAGUGGAAUUUCCGGUGUAGUGGUGAAAUGCGUAGAUAUCGGAAGGAACACCAGUGGCGAAGGCGGCUACCUGGACUGAGACUGACACUGAGGCGCGAGAGCGUGGGGAGCAAACAGGAUUAGAUACCCGCGUAGUCCCUGUCUCUUAUAC